GUGACGGUGCGCGGAGGCGGUGGUGGAGUUGCUUCCCCUGCUAGGCGGGCUCGAACCGGGCGGGAGUCACUGUCCACCUUGCUUCGCCAGGGUGUUAUCGCCAGCCAGUCCCCUUCCGCAUGCCCAAGGGCAGCCUCAGGAAGCGAGCCCACCACCGUCGGCCCAGCGCCUGUUGAUCGGCCAGGCCUUCUGGGCCGGUCAUACUGGGCCCUUCCUAACCUGAGGAGAUUGCACAGUAGGGCUCCCUGGUCUGGUCAGGGCUCAGUUAGGACCCCUCUCCAGCCUUAGGCUUGGUGAAAGCUUUAGCGAAACAGAAAAAAGAACGCAUCGUGGUGUAGAGUGUAUGGCCUAAGAAGCAUUCGCUCCACUCAAAAAAAAGAAAGUCCUAAUGCAAGUAAUUGAAAGUGAAGAUAUUGCAAAACAAAUAAUGACAGCUGAAUUGAUGAUAUGAUGACAGGCUCAUCCCUCCAUUGUAAACUAUGACAAGGGUCAUAGCUCACUGCAGCCUUGAACUCCUGACCUCAAGCAAUCCUCCCGCCUUGGCCUCCUAAAGCAUUGGGAUUACAGGUGUGAGCCACUGUACUGGACCAGAAUCUGCAUUUUUAACAGGAGUUCCAGCCUUGAAAAAUUUCUUUGAAGUGCCUGUGUAUGAACCAGGAAUUUCACUAUCAUUUUUAGAGUCUUCUGAAGGCUAAUGGAUUUGGUAACACACUCCCUUUUCUGUACGGCUUCUGAAAAUAUUGUUCAGCUGUAUGUGGUGUCUCACAUCUGUAAUCCCAGCAAUUUGGCAGGCCAAGGCAAGAGGACUGCUUGAAGCCAAGAGCUCAAGACCAGCCUGGGCAACAUAGUGAGACCCUGCCUCUACAAAAAUAAAUAAAUAAAAUUUUUUGAAAAAUGAAAAU
rnacentral:lncRNA from 1 species